UUAUUAAAAACAUUCAGGUACUUGACCCGGGCGUGUCAAGCCUUCACCCGACCGGGUGAACAUUCUGUGAACAAAGGGAGAUGCCACCUUUCAAGCUGAAAAAAAAAAAUAAUAAAAAAAGGAAAAACAAUAGAUAAAACCACGUCGCACACAUCUCUGGCCGUCGGAUAUCCAACCGGCGGUCGUCUUUAAUCAGCCACCCUCACCACACCGGAACCCUAACUAUCGCCCACCACCACCCUCUGUUGUCUUCUUCAAUCGCUGGCUAUCACCCACGAUAAACGCCGUCCACCCCCUUCGCACUCCGACUCCGGCUCCGAUCACGAACAACAUCAGGUAACAACACAUCCGAAGCUUCAUCAUAUGAAUAUUGGUCAAACACUUGAAUUGGAAUUGAUUUGCUGCAGUGAUUUUGUUAAACUGAGCAUUUACCUCAUAUGGUAAUUAUGUUCUAAUUGUUUGUGUCUAUCUUGAGUUUAUUUAGAUUAGAGUUGCGUAUCACGACUCAGUUUAUGUACUCUAUCUUAGAUAAAAUGAGGUAUGUCACUGUGUGAGCAUAUUGUGGAUUGAAUCAUGGUGCUUAAUGUUUUUAGUCAUUCAAAAGAAAAAGCAAAUAUAUAAUCUUAUUGAUGAACCACAAUGUUUAUAAACCAUUGUCAUGACCUUAUAUAUGAGUGAAACGAAACGAAUAACCGCAACCGCAUUAGUAGAUUCCUUACACACUCAUCUCCGAGCCUCGAGGACGAUGCUAAAUCUUAAGUUUGGGGAGGUUGAGAUUAGAGGUAAUGUCUGUAUUCUCAUUUUAGCAUGCAUAAGUAGUCGCAUAUAGUUGCAUUUUUCAUGUUUAUUGCAUUUAGGGUGUAUAUAUGUGCAUUAAAAACAUCCAUAAAAAGAAUUGUUUCUGUUCUGCUGAAAAUGAUUUGUGAAAAAUGAGAUAUGAUAUGAUUUCUGGCAUGCGUGAAAUGGUAACUUUGGGGAAGAAAGCAUAGAUAAUUUGGGAUGUGUUGAUAGGCUCGGCCCUAACUUAGGAACGGCAAUGUUGUAUGUGAUAACCUUAAAUAUGUAUAUAUAUGUGUUUAGUCCCCCAUCUUGAUGCUUGUGGUUAAAGAUUGAUCCCGACCAAAAAUCGGUUGAGUUGCAUAUCCUCUAUGACACACCAUGUUCCCCAUAUCAUGGCACCUCCGUAAUUCCAUAAAAAAAAAUAAAGAGGUGAAAAAUUGACCUCAUAGUUACUAUAGUUAAAAAGAAAAAAAAGAGAAAAAAGAAGGGGUAAAAGAGCACAAUGUAUGCCAAAAAUUUGAAAAAAAAAUCGAAAUCGAAAUAAAAAAAAAUAUUUUAGUAAAUUAGGGAGAAAAGUCCCGACCCCUUAAUAAACGGAAAAAAUAAUAACUAUCGUGUCAUGAUUGGGUGCAUGGUCGCGUCAAGUGUGGUUUUGGAUACCUUCUAAAAGGCGUGAGGUUGGGUAGAUGUUGCCAUAGGUGUUGGGCGUGGGGACGAUUGAACCAUGUUGGUAAGUUUGUAUAUUAUCAAGCAGAAAGCAUUUGGGUGUGAUUAAGCGGGUGUGAGUUUAAAGGGACACAUAAUAUCAACAAUCGCGGUUACACGUAUUAAUAUUUCCCGGGUUCGAAUGAAUGUAAUAAGAGUUGAUAAUGUUAGAUGUGAUCUCAUUACAAGUUUAUUUUCCGGAAUAAAAGAAGCGGGUUGAAAAAAAAUAGUAAGCAUGCAUAUUUGUUUUAUUUUUCGUGUUUAUUUCUCGGUUUAUUCUUAUUCUUGACUUCCUUGAGGACAAUUAAAGGUUUAAGCUUGGGGGGAUUUGUUAGUUGCAUUUUUAGGCAUAUUUUACCACAUUUUAGCAAGCGUAUUUAAUGGCAUUUUAGGCAUUUAUACUAUAGAUAUUGCAUUGUUUCGGAAAAUACGUGUUUUUGUGGAACGGAAUCUACUUUGGACGUAUUAAUGAUUAGGCAAGGAGCGGUUGUAAGGAAUGACAAGAGAUAGUAAAAAGGCUCGUAAAGACUUAAGAAAUAAAUAAAGUACAGGUUCAAGUAAAAGUGGAUAGCAUGGAUUUUUAGCUUGAUGAUUUACAAAGGCCUGAUCAUUGCAAGAACAAAAAGAAGUUUAUUUGUUCAUUGAGUGAACUAAUUAGAGAUGACAUUGGGGCUAAAAUAAACUUCUAAGCUUGGGACAAUUGAUGACACCGUUGGGCUGCCAAAGAAAAGAAAAAAAAUGAAAACACAGAGUGGGGAGUUUUUGGCAAUUGAAAAAAAGGAACGAUAUAUCAUAAGUAACAACCUGGACACAAAAAGGAGGGACAUUGUUUUUGGGACGGAUGCAAGUUGAAAUCAAAAGGAGGAUAUUUUUCUUUAGGAACUUUUUUUUUUUUUGGGAGGAACAAAAAAAACUGUUUUGGUACUUUGGUUUUCGUAAGUUUUUAAUAAUUUUGGAUGUUUUGUUUCAUUCUUGUAUUGAUUGAACUAGUUAUUAUGUCUGGUUAGAAUGACUUAG